CCUACGGGUGGCAGCAGUGGGGAAUAUUACACAAUGGGGGAAACCCUGAUGCAGCGACGCCGCGUGAGUGAAGAAGUAAUUCGUUAUGUAAAGCUCUAUCAGCAGGGAAGAAAAUGACGGUACCUGAGUAAGAAGCCCCGGCUAACUACGUGCCAGCAGCCGCGGUAAGACGGAGGGGGCAAGCGUUAUCCGGAUUUACUGGGUGUAAAGGGAGCGUAGACGGCAGGGCAAGUCUGGAGUGAAAGGCGGGGGCUCAACCCCCGGACUGCUCUGGAAACUGUACGGCUGGAGUGCAGGAGAGGUAAGUGCACUUCCUAUUGUAGCUGUGAAUUGCGUAGAUAUUAGGAGGAACACCAGUGGCGCAGGCGGCUUACUGGACUGUAACUGCCGUUGAGGCUCGAAAGCGUGGGGAGCAAACAGGAUUAGAUCCCCCGGUAGUC
rnacentral:rRNA from 1 species